UUUUGUGUCUCUUUGUGGUCGUUUUGUGUGUCUUUGUGGUUGUUUUGUGUGUCUUUUUGGUUGUUUUGUGUCUCUUUGUGGUUGUUUUGUGUCUCUGUGUGGUUGUUUUGUGUGUCUUUGUGGUCGUUUUGUGUGUCUUUGUGGUUGUUUUGUGUCUCUUUGUGGUUUUGUGUCUCUGUGUGGUUGUUUUGUGUGUCUUUGUGGUCGUUUUGUGUCUCUUUGUGGUCGUUUUGUGUCUCUUUGUGGUUGUUUUGUGUGUCUUUGUGGUCGUUUUGUGUCUCUUUGUAGUUGUUUUGUGUCUCUGUUAUCUUUUUGUGUGUCUUUGUGGUUGUUUUGUGUGUCUUUGUGGUUGUUUUGUGACUCUUUGUGGUUGUUUUGUGUCUCUGUGGUUGUUUUGUGUGUCUUUGUAGUUGUUUUGUGUGUCUUUGUGGUUGUUUUGUGUGUCUUUGUGGUUGUUUUGUGUGGUUAACUUUACUCUAACCUUCAGUCUGCUCCUACAGGGCAGUAAAUCAUUCAUGUGUGUUUGUGGUUUCAUUUCCACCGUAUUUCUGCUUCUAGCUUCUUCUCUGUCCAUCUUGUGUGUUUUUCGUAUUUCCGGAUCAUUUAUUGUGUCUUUCUGGAUCAGAUUCAGGCUGCAGCUCUAAAUCCUCCUGAUCACAUGAUGAGUCCAGACCAGGAGGAAACGAUUCCACUGUUUCUCUGCUAGCAUCUCAGACAUGCAGCCGUGUGCAGCUCUGCAGGAUGGAAGAGAGGCUGCUGCAGCAUCACAGUGUGUUUGUGUGUCAGGAGGUGCAAUACACAACGUUUGUGAUCCAGAAACACACAACAGAGGGAUAAAGACCGGUCCACAACGUUUGUGAUCCAGAAACACACAACAGAGGGAUAAAGACCGGUCCACAACGUUUGUGAUCCAGCAGCUUGUUUUCCUGAUGACCUGCUGGAGUCUGUUUUCAUUCCAACCGACGAGCUGCGACACGCUGCGCUGUGUGACUCACACACACACACACACACACACACACACACACACACACACACACUGAGGUUUUGCUGGUCGUGACACAGCUCCUCUGGAAAGUCUUAGUCACUGCAGGACUGUUGUGUGUUUUUAUUGAAGGUUGUGUGUUUGUAGUGAGGGUUGUGUGUUUUUAUGGAAGGUUGUGUGUUUGUAGUGAGGGUUGUGUGUUUUUAUGGAAGGUUGUGUGUUUGUAGUGAGGGUUGUGUGUUUUUAAGGUUGUGUGUUUGUAGUGAGGGUUGUGUGUUUUUAUGGAAGGUUGUGUGUUUGUAGUGAGGGUUGUGUGUUUUUAUGGAAGGUUGUGUGUUUGUAGUGAGAGUUGUGUGUUUUUAUUUAAGGUUGUGUGUUUGUAGUGAGAGUUGUGUGUUUUUAUGGAAGGCUGUGUGUUUGUAGUGAGGGUUGUGUGUUUUUAUGGAAGGUUGUGUGUUUGUAGUGAGGGUUGUGUGUUUUUAAGGCUGUGUGUUUGUAGUGAGGGUUGUGUGUUUUUAUGGAAGGCUGUGUGUUUGUAGUGAGGGUUGUGUGUUUUUAUUUAAGGUUGUGUGUUUGUAGUGAGGGUUGUGUGUUUUUAUUUAAGGUUGUGUGUUUGUAGUGAGAGUUGUGUGUUUAUAGUGAGGGUUGUGUGUUUUUAUUUAAGGUUGUGUGUUUAUAGUGAGGGUUGUGUGUUUUUAUUGAAGGUUGUGUGUUUAUAGUGAGGGUUGUGUGUUUUUAUUUAAGGUUGUGUGUUUAUAGUGAGGGUUGUGUGUUUUUAUUGAAGGUUGUGUGUUCGUAGUGAGGGUUGUGUGUUUUUAUUGAAGGUUGUGUGUUUGUAGUGAGGGUUGUGUGUUUGUAGUGAGGGUUGUGUGUUUUUAUUUAAGGUUGUGUGUUUGUAGUGAGAGUUGUGUGUUUAUAGUGAGGGUUGUGUGUUUUUAUUUAAGGUUGUGUGUUUAUAGUGAGGGUUGUGUGUUUUUAUUGAAGGUUGUGUGUUCGUAGUGAGGGUUGUGUGUUUUUAUUGAAGGUUGUGUGUUUAUAGUGAGGGUUGUGUGUUUUUAUUGAAGGUUGUGUGUUCGUAGUGAGGGUUGUGUGUUUUUAUUGAAGGUUGUGUGUUUAUAGUGAGGGUUGUGUGUUUUUAAGGUUGUGUGUUCGUAGUGAGGGUUGUGUGUUUUUAUUGAAGGUUGUGUGUUCGUAGUGAGGGUUGUGUGUUUUUAUUGAAGGUUGUGUGUUUAUAGUGAGGGUUGUGUGUUUUUAAGGUUGUGUGUUUGCAGUGAGAGUUGUGUGUUUUUAAGGUUGUGUGUUUAUAGUGAGAGUUGUGUGUUUUUAUUUAAGGUUGUGUGUUUGUAUUGAGCAUUGUUUGUCCGUGCAGUGACUUGUCCACACCGUUAGUUGUGUAACAGCCGUAGAGCUGAAUUGUGUUGACAGGUGUAAUCAGUGAUAAUUGAUGCUGAAGUUCUGCUGACUUUAAAGACAGCAAAUAAACCCUAAUCUCACCUGAGAUGACAUCAUCAGGUGUGUCUCCUAGAAAGUGGUUCAGAUCUGGAGUGCAGGAAUCUGUCGUUGUGUUUGCCAGAGGAAGUUUUUCUGACCUGCUUCUUCUUCAGGGUAAAUGAUUUCACUUUGACCUUCAUGUGUUUCAUCCUGACUCUUUGUGACGAGUCGCUCCAGAUUUCAUUCGUUCACAUCCAUCACAUCUACGUUACGCUUUUUAGGUUCUGAUUUAGAGAUUAAACUGAUCAGAAUGACGGAGAAUCUGAAGCUGGAGGAACAUUCUGGAACAUUUAAACCACACAACACAGCCACAAAGACACACAACACAGCCACAAAGAGACAAAAAACAACCACAGAGACACAAACAACCACAAAGAGAUGCAAAAUGACCACAAAGAGAUGCAAAAGAACCACAGAGAGACACAAAACAACCACAUAGAGACAUAAAACAGUCACAAAGACACACAAAAGCACAGCUCUACGGCUGCAGUUGUGUGUUUCUUCGUCUAUAUUUGUGUGUCGAUGCAGCAGACUGUAGAAUGUGUGUCGGUGUUAAAACAACACAAUCUGUUCAGGAGGCGAGUCAUCGGUGAUCUGCACCAUCUGAGACAGACACACACUGAGAACACAACCAGUAAACGCACAAGCAGUAAAAACACAACCAGUAAACACAACAGCAACACAUUAUUUCCUCAGUCUGUGGACAAUGAGUGAUGUCAUGUUGUGUUGUAUCGUGUUGUUGUGUUGUUGUAUUAGAUUGUUGUGUUGUUGUAUUGUGUUGUGUUGUUGUAUCGUGUUGUGUUCUCCUCCACCUUCCAGUCCUGUUGAUCUGUUUUCUUUCAUCUGAUGGAAAUGAGCUGCAUUUAUUCAGAUUUAAAGAAACUGCAGUUUGUCAGGUUCUGCAUGUUUUAGUGUCUGAAGAGAGAAAAACCUGAAUUACAGGAGAACCGACAUUAAACACACUGCAA